rnacentral:tRNA from 1 species
UAUAUUUUAGUAUAUGAUGUAUAAGGAAUUUUGAUUUCCUAGGAGAUAGUUUAAUUCUAUCAAAUAUAA